AAUAGAUACCCAGGUAGUCCACGCCGUAAACGAUGAGUGCUAAGUGUUAGAGGGUUUCCGCCCUUUAGUGCUGAAGUUAACGCAUUAAGCACUCCGCCUGGGGAGUACGGCCGCAAGGCUGAAACUCAAAGGAAUUGACGGGGGCCCGCACAAGCGGUGGAGCAUGUGGUUUAAUUCGAAGCAACGCGAAGAACCUUACCAGGUCUUGACAUCCUCUGACAACCCUAGAGAUAGGGCUUCUCCUUCGGGAGCAGAGUGACAGGUGGUGCAUGGUUGUCGUCAGCUCGUGUCGUGAGAUGUUGGGUUAAGUCCCGCAACGAGCGCAACCCUUGAUCUUAGUUGCCAGCAUUCAGUUGGGCACUCUAAGGUGACUGCCGGUGACAAACCGGAGGAAGGUGGGGAUGACGUCAAAUCACCAUGCCCCUUAUGACCUGGGCUACACACGUGCUACAAUGGAUGGUACAAAGGGCUGCAAGAUCGCGAGGUCAAGCCAAUCCCAUAAAACCAUUCUCAGUUCGGA
rnacentral:rRNA from 1 species